rnacentral:rRNA from 1 species
GGGGAAUAUUGGACAAUGGGCGCAAGCCUGAUCCAGCCAUGCCGCGUGGGUGAAGAAGGCCUUCGGGUUGUAAAGCCCUUUUGUUGGGAAAGAAAAGCAGCCGGCCAAUACCCGGUUGUUCUGACGGUACCCAAAGAAUAAGCACCGGCUAACUUCGUGCCAGCAGCCGCGGUAAUACGAAGGGUGCAAGCGUUACUCGGAAUUACUGGGCGUAAAGCGUGCGUAGGUGGUGGUUUAAGUCCGUUGUGAAAGCCCUGGGCUCAACCUGGGAAUUGCAUUGGUGACUGCACGGCUAGAGUGUGUCAGAGGGGGGUAGAAUUCCACGUGUAGCAGUGAAAUGCGUAGAGAUGUGGAGGAAUACCGAUGGCGAAGGCAGCCCCCUGGGAUAACACUGACGCUCAUGCACGAAAGCGUGGGGAGCAAACA